rnacentral:misc_RNA from 1 species
AGCAACUCCCUUUGUUGUAUGCAACUUCAUGCAAAGGCAAUCCAUAUUAAUCAAAAUCCCAUUACUAUUUAGAAUAGGCCUCCCUAAUAUGACAUUAUAAGGAAUGUCAAUGACUACAAACUCAACAUAAAUGUUUCUUCGGAAAGUACCAUCACUUAACCCCAUAGCGAGUUAACCAUUCUUGCCACCGGGACUAUUUUAUCUCCCAAUCUGACUAGAGGAUAAGCUCCCUUGGUUCAUUCUUUUGUAAUCCGAGCUUUCAUAUGCUUCUAGAAUGAUCAAAUUAACCAAACUACUCAGUAUCUACUAGAGUCCUCAUA